CUCUUACAUAGAGCGGUGAACGGGACAGCGGCGCCUUGUAUGCUCGGAGUGGAAGUAGAGAUUCGGCUCAGUAGUGGGGGUUGAGCGCUCGGCAAUAGGUUACCCCUCUCGCGACACAGUAUCGUCGCGGUGCUCACCAUGGGAAGAGUAGUGGGGAGAGCUAUCUGGCAAGGACGCGUCGCUUCAGCCGACCGACCGACAUAUACUAUUAUACUACUCGUCGCAUCGACUUUCCACAAGGAGAUGCUGCCACUGUUGUGUACGCUUUGACAACUUGCAGAAA